rnacentral:rRNA from 1 species
GACGAACGCUGGCGGCGUGCUUAACACAUGCAAGUCGAACGGAAAGGCCCUGCUUUUGUGGGGUGCUCGAGUGGCGAACGGGUGAGUAACACGUGAGUAACCUGCCCUUGACUUUGGGAUAACUUCAGGAAACUGGGGCUAAUACCGGAUAUGAGCUCCUGCUGCAUGGUGGGGGUUGGAAAGUUUCGGCGGUUGGGGAUGGACUCGCGGCUUAUCAGCUUGUUGGUGGGGUAGUGGCUUACCAAGGCUUUGACGGGUAGCCGGCCUGAGAGGGUGACCGGGCACAUUGGGACUGAGAUACGGCCCAGACUCCUACGGGAGGCAGCAGUGGGGAAUAUUGCACAAUGGGCGGAAGCCUGAUGCAGCAACGCCGCGUGCGGGAUGACGGCCUUCGGGUUGUAAACCGCUGUCGCAUGUGACGAAGAGUGAGUGACGGUAAUGGGUAAAGAAGCACCGGCUAACUACGUG